rnacentral:lncRNA from 1 species
AACCCCUUAGUGCUUAUAAGUUUAUAACCCUUGGAUCUACUCCUUGAUUACUAAUAGUCUUUAGAUCAAAUACUAUUCCACCUACCACGACCUACCACUAUCAUCUCAACCUCACAUCUCUCCAACCAAUGGCUAAAAAGUCAAAAGCACUACCUUCAUGGUACUUUUGAGAGUACUUUAGCUCAACUCUAUAUAUAUAUAUAAAAUUGAGUUCCUAUGUUUUUAAAAGUACCAAAUUAUUGAUGCUUAUAGAUUUUUAACCAUUAGAUUAAAGGAUGUGCGGUUAGAAUGAUGUGGGCCCCUAGGGUUGAGUGGAUGGUUGGUCGAAUAUUAUAAUCUAAUGGGUGAAAAUGAUAAAAAACGUAGAUCAAACGGUAAAAAAUUUACAAGCACCAAAUGCUUGGUGCUUUUACAAAUAUGACUUGAUAGGACAGAGGUCUCUAUUAUAUAUAUAUAUAUAUAUAUAUAUAUAUAUAUAUAUAUAUAUAUAUAUAUAUAUAUAUAUUUCUACAGAGUCCGGCUGCAAUACUAUCGAUAGCACCAAGCGUUUGAUGCUAUCAAGUUUUUCGCCGUUAGAUUUAACCUUUUGACUAUUUUACCCGUUAGAUUAUACUAUCAAACCAAUAACUCACUCAACCCUAGGGGACCCAUAUCAUUCUAACCGUACAUUGUUUUAAUCCAAAUGCUGAAAACCUAAUAGCACCAAUAGCUUGGUGCUAUUGAUAGUAUUCCAGUCUAGUUCUAUAUAUAGAGUCCGGCUACGAUACUAUCGCUAGCACCAAGCGUUUGAUGCUAUCAAUAGAAUUAAGCUAAAAUACUUUUAAAAGUAUCACCCCCUUGGUGCUUCUAGGUUUCUAGCCCUUGAAUCUACUCCUUGAUUACUAAUAAUCAUUGGAUUAAACACUAUUUCACCUACCACCGCCUACCACCACCUACUACCAAUAUCCUAACCUUACAUUUCUCCAUCCAAGGGUUGAAAACUCAAAAGCACCAACCUCUUGGUGCUCUUGGUGCUUUUGAGAGUAUUCUAGCUGAACUAUAUAUAUAUAUAUAUAUAUAUAUAUAUAGUACGUCUUUCGUACUUUCGAAAGUAUAUAUGGAAACCUCCGUGCUUAUAAGUUGUUUUCGAUGAUAUGAUAUCCGAUUCGACGAUCAGCUCCGUUAAGUAUAAUCUACCUUAUUGGAACUAUCUAGAAACCAAAUUUUAUAAUUUGUUGACAUCAUUUACCAAGCGAUCAAAAAGUCUCAAAAAUGACUAUUUUAAUGGCCGAUAUGGUACGUUUUUAAGUUCAACGGUGUAUAAGUAUCCAAAUUACAUAAAAUAUUCUACUUAAUAUUAAUAGCAAGAUUAAUACUUUCAAUUUGAAUUUUGAGUCAUUUAUCACUAUUUUUUAUGAGAUUUUUAUUUUCAGCUGUUCAUUUUAAGGCUACUCGUUUACUAGACAAACGAAAUCAAAAAAUUAUGAAAUUUGGUGUCUAGAUAGUUACAAUAGCGUAGAUCAUGUUUAACGGAACCGAUCGCCGAAUCGGAUGUCCCAUCAUCGAAAAUAACUUACAAGCACGAAGGCCUCCGUACUUUCAAAAGCAUAGGAGCUAUAUAGUAGGUUUUGUGUGUUAUUAGGAGUAUGAAGGCCUCUGUGCUCCUAAACUGUUUUCAAUGAUGAAGUUUUCAAAUCGACAAUCGACUCUGUUAGACUUGAUCUAGCGUAUUUAAAGUAUCUAGAAAAUAAAUUUUGCGAUUUUUCGAUAUCAUUUAUACUAGCGAUCGAAAAGGUUCAAAAUCAAUAAUUUUUAAUGGUUGAUAUAUAUCGUUCACAAGUUUAAUGGUGCAGAAGUAUUCAAAUCACAUGAAGUUUUGAUAAAAAAAAUUUUGUACUAUUUAUUGCAACAUCAAUAUUUCUGAUCAAAAAUUUUAAUACUAUAUUACCACUUUUUGUAAAAUUUUUAUUUUCAGCCGUUGAUUUUGAACCUUUUCAAUCACUAGUUAAAUGAUAUCGAAAAACUGCAAAAAANUCCUAUCCUGAUAUCAGAGUAAUGUAUAAGACGAUAUACUAUCAGUAAAUGAACAAAGAGUAUACAAUCCAAAAUCUCAGCAAAAGGAGAAGAAGUACGAACU